rnacentral:rRNA from 1 species
GAUGAACGCUAGCGGCAGGCUUAACACAUGCAAGUCGAGGGGUAGAGGCUUUCGGGCCUUGAGACCGGCGCACGGGUGCGUAACGCGUAUGCAAUCUGCCUUGUACUGGGGGAUAGCCCAGAGAAAUUUGGAUUAAUACCCCAUAGUAUUUUCGGUUGGCAUCAACUGAUCAUUAAAGUUUUUCGGUACAAGAUGAGCAUGCGUCCCAUUAGCUAGUUGGUAUGGUAACGGCAUACCAAGGCUACGAUGGGUAGGGGUCCUGAGAGGGAGAUCCCCCACACUGGUACUGAGACACGGACCAGACUCCUACGGGAGGCAGCAGUGAGGAAUAUUGGUCAAUGGUCGCAAGACUGAACCAGCCAUGCCGCGUGCAGGAUGAAGCAUCUAUGGUGUGUAAACUGCUUUUGUACGGGAAGAGACACUCCUACGAGUAGGGGCUUGACGGUACCGUAAGAAUAAGGAUCGGCUAACUCCGUGCCAGCAGCCGCCGUAAAAC